GUCCACGCCGUAAACGAUGGGUACUAGGUGUUGGGGGUAUUGACCCCCCCAGUGCCGCAGUUAACGCAUUAAGUACCCCGCCUGGGAAGUACGGCCGCAAGGCUAAAACUCAAAGGAAUUGACGGGGGCCCGCACAAGCGGUGGAGCAUGUGGUUUAAUUCGACGCAACGCGAAGAACCUUACCUGGGCUUGACAUCCUAGGAAUCCCCUGGAAACAGGGGGGUGCCCGCAAGGGAGCCUAGAGACAGGUGCUGCAUGGCUGUCGU
rnacentral:rRNA from 1 species